rnacentral:lncRNA from 1 species
UUCUUCCCUGUCCAUCGACAUGCAUCUAUGAAUAUCGAAAAUUAUGCACUGACAUCAAUUUCCAAAGGUGCACAAAUCCAGUUUAAUUUGAGUGCAAGUCCAGUUUUAUUCGAGUGCAAGUAGGUGGUAUAUACACGAGAUGAUAUGUACUGUAUAAGGUCGUACAUAUCAGUAGAGUAACUUGUGAUGAUACAUCAGAUACAUAGAAGGAGGCAGGCAUGCAUGCAUGCAUAUAAUAUAAGCAUCUAGGCCGCCCGUUCGGUUCUUCAUCCUUCAUCCUUGCAUUGUUUUGGAAGAUGGGGGGGUCUGCGCACGGGUGUAAUCAGGGUUGGCCACCUGCCGGUGGUCUACAUCCGUAAACUGUGCGGCACCCACGGCCGGUGUAGGGUUUACCAGGCGGCGACGGGAAAACAGGAUGGUUUGGGUCAUUGCUACCACUACCGGUGCCUGGACCUGGACGGGGAACCAUGGACGUUCGUUAUUCAGCAGAUCAUCAUAACUAGUUAAUCAAUUCAAGAACGUUUUAAAGGGAGAAGUAGUUAAGUAUUGUGGACUGACCAAUUACUACAGUGCCGGUGCCGUCGUGGCCACCGGCGGCAAGGCAGACGGAGCUGUUGAUGAUGACCGCCGUGACGACGACGAAGAGAGCGAUCUGCAGGAGCACCGUGGGACGACGGCCAGCAGAAGCCAUGCUGAUGAUUCGAGGCUGCUAGCUGAUGAUUGUUUGAGCGAGGGGUUGAGAACUAUAUAU